GAUGAACGCUAGCGGCAGGCCUAAUACAUGCAAGUCGGACGGGAUUCAGGAGCUUGCUUCUGAUGAGAGUGGCGCACGGGUGCGUAACACGUAUGUAACCUACCUUUAUCAGGGGGAUAGCCUCUCGAAAGAGAGAUUAAGCCCGCAUAAAAUCACAGCACAGCAUUGUGUAAUGAUCAAAUAUUUAUAGGAUAAAGAUGGGCAUGCGGAACAUUAGCUAGAUGGCGGGGUAACGGCCCACCAUGGCGACGAUGUUUAGGGGAUCUGAGGGGAUGGCCCCCCACACUGGUACUGAGACACGGACCAGACUCCUACGGGAGGCAGCAGUAAGGAAUAUUGGGCGAGGGGCGGAAGCCUGAACCAGCCAUGCCGCGUGCAGGAAGACGGCGCUACGGGUUGUAAACUGCUUUUAUACGGGAAUAAACCCAGAUACGUGUAUCUGGCUGAAUGUACUGUAAGAAUAAGGAUCGGCUAACUCCGUG
rnacentral:rRNA from 1 species